rnacentral:rRNA from 1 species
GUAGGGUGCGAGCGUUGUCCGGAUUUAUUGGGCGUAAAGGGCUGGUAGGUGGUUGAUCGCGUCGGAAGUGUAAUCUUGGGGCUUAACCCUGAGCGUGCUUUCGAUACGGGUUGACUUGAGGAAGGUAGGGGAGAAUGGAAUUCCUGGUGGAGCGGUGGAAUGCGCAGAUAUCAGGAGGAACACCAGUGGCGAAGGCGGUUCUCUGGGCCUUUCCUGACGCUGAGGAGCGAAAGCGUGGGGAGCGAACAGGCUUAGAUACCCUGGUAGUCCACGCUGUAAACGGUGGGUACUAGGUGUGGGGUCCAUUCCACGGGUUCCGUGCCGUAGCUAACGCUUUAAGUACCCCGCCUGGGGAGUACGGCCGCAAGGCUA